AUUGUUCUUCUGAUAAGGCCACCAAUCCUAUCAAAUUAGGACCCUACCCAUAUGACAUCAUCUCACUUUAAUGACUUCCUAAAAGCCUUAUCUCCAAAUACAGUCACAUGGGGGUUAGGCCUUCAACAUAGGAAUUUGGGGCAGGGACACAGUUCAGUCCAUAACACCUCCGCAGACAAAUCUGAUCUCUGCCUCCUCCACAGCGCCACCUUGUUCAGGGCAGGACUUCUCUUCAUCACAGCACAUCCACCCUUGAUUCCCAUUUGUGCCUCGUGUGCAUUUGAUGAAUGAAUGAAGUCCCAUCCCCUACUCCUUCUGUCUCCUCCUUCCUCCCAGCAGCCUCUGUGUGACAACUUAUCCGUCUCUCCCACUGUCCCAGUUCCCAGAGGCAGGAGCCACCCUCUCAUGCAUCCCUGGGCUCUCGGCACCCUGCACAGGGCAGGCCCGGGUGGGU
rnacentral:lncRNA from 10 species